UUUUAUGGAUGAGCAAAGAAAGUGGUUUCUUGAGACUAAAUCUACUCCUGAUGAAGAUAUUGUGAA
rnacentral:pre_miRNA from 1 species